rnacentral:rRNA from 1 species
GAUGAACGCUAGCGGCAGGCCUAAUACAUGCAAGUCGGACGGGAUUUGGGAGCUUGCUCCCAAUGAGAGUGGCGCACGGGUGCGUAACACGUAUGUAACCUACCUUAGUCAGGGGGAUAGCCUCUCGAAAGAGAGAUUAAGACCGCAUAAAAUACACAGUAUAGCAUUAUACAAUGAUCAAAUAUUUAUAGGACUAAGAUGGCAUGCGGAACAUUAGCUAGUGGUGAGGUAACGGCCCACCAAGG